rnacentral:snoRNA from 1 species
GUGCCAAAAGCUAAUUUGGGGGGGGGAAGGUUUUUUAAUAACCUUUACAAUUUGGGCUAUUUGGCAGAGCGAUUAAGACCACACUCCACAUGGGCUAUACCACUUAGUAUGGUCAUUACUAUCUUGUGGCCUACACA